AUGACUGAGAAAAACAUUAUUGGCAUCAGUAAAACCAUAUGCUCAAAAAUGAAAGCCAGAAGCGGUACAGAGAGUCACUUUCCAGCAACGACGAGAGAAGAGUUUCUUCUUGCCACCGUGCACACUUGUGUGAGUUGUUCUCUGGCUGAGGGGCUGCUGAGGACUGGCACAGAGCCCUCUCUCCACUUGUUCAUGACAAUAGUUACAAUGACUGCUGUAGCACGAGGAGCGGAAUGUUGGCUUGGGAUGGCAUGCUGCUUUAUAAAGAGCAGCUACAAGGAGCAAUCUUGUCCCAUUUCAUCUGAACAAGUACGCUCAGGUUUUGCUCCUCCUAGACUGAAGGUCGAGAUAUGUCCAUUUUUGUCUACCUGCUUUUUGCGUCUUUGGGUUUAGAAUCCAAUGCCUGGAUCUGGCCACUCGACUGGCAUCCACUUUCAUCAUCUGUCCCUAGCGGAUUCUAGUCACUGACCCAUUCUCUGACCAGGUCUGGGGUGUCACAUUCACUCCUGAAAGCCUUUUCUCCCACUUCUGCUUUGCCCUCAGCAACUAGGCCUGGGGCGAGGCCAGCUAAAGAUCUCUUCUUUCUGCCUUCUGCUUUGACCUGGCCAACCUGACAGGAGACAAAAGUAAAAAGCUCUUAAAAUUGACUUGGCUAAGGGACUUAAAAGUCGUUCCUGAGGUGAGUGUCCAUUUCUGAUAAAGUGUGACUUUGUAACCCCAAAUCCCACAAUUUAUCCUUUCAUUCCCCAAAUAUUCACCGCUCAUAUCUAUAGCAUUUUAUGAUAUCUAAAAAAUGAAAUACACCCAAAGUGAAGAAAAAUGGGAAUUCAAUGUUCAGGCAUUUAUUUCAGGUUGUAGUAAUUCUAGGAAUCUGCUCUGCUUUUAUCUGCUUUCAAGAAAAUAAGAGUUAUUCCAUUUCAGUAACUGAAGAAUCUAGAGCACAUCUUUGUUCAUUGUCUGAAUUUGCAGCUCUUCCUGGCCCCAAAAGGCCUCUCUGUUUUCAGGGAGUCUGCAGGCAGAAACCCACAGAGUGAGCCAAACAUGCAGUUGGUAUCGGAGAAGUCAGGAGAUCUGACGUCUUGAAGAGUCCAAAGAAGUUUCGAGUGAUUUCUUCUCAGGCUUUUGUUUUGUCUCUUUAGCAAUCCUGUUUAGAACAGGAAAGCUCACCAUGGGGCAGGGCUACAAAGCCUGUGGAUCACUUUAGUUUUGCAACAUUUAUCAGAUAAAUCAAAAUGGAAGUGAGACAAAUUGUAAAGAGUAAGAGACGGAAUAAAGCACAGUCUGCCAAGGACUCGGAUGGCACAUUUCAUGGCUCCCUUAUCCCAUUUUCUUCAAACUUACAUUCAUUUUCAAAGCAAGUGAGUGAAGUGGGUGGUCCAGAUAGAGUCCGGGAAGUCACUGGAGUUUUGCUGAGUCACCACCGUGUCAGAACUUGAAGCACUUCUACUUCUACUUCUUUUAAUUCACUCCCUAGGCUUGCUGUUAAGCCUCCUCCCCAUCCUCACUGUGCCAAGAACUGUGCAGAUGAUUUCAUGCAUGAAAAAACAAAAGAACCUCUAAAAUUUACCAAAAUGAAUGGAAAACAAGAACUACUUUUAAUGAUAAUCUAAUAAAGAACAUGGGAGAAAGGGUAUAGAAUAUUUCUCAUUUGCAAAAUGGGCAUAAAAUUGUGUUCCAUAAAAUACUCUUUUAU
rnacentral:lncRNA from 1 species